GAAUUCUUGCUGAAGGGUGAAAUUCCUUGAUAGUGAAGAAGCACCCCCGGGGCGAAGGGCGCCCCAGUGUUCCGUUAUAGACGCUGAGGGGGGAAAGCGUGGGGACCAACCAGGAUUGGUACCCUGGUAUUCCACGCCUUAAAAGAUGGAUGUUAGCCGUCAGCAAGCAUGUUGUUGGUGGCGCAGGUAACGCAAUAAGCAUUCCCCCUGGGGAGUACGGUCGCAAGAUUAAAACUCAAAGGAAUUGACGGGGCCCCGCACAAGCAGCGGAGCAUGUGGUUUAAUUCGAAGCAACGCGAAGAACCUUACCUAGACUUGACAUCUCCUGAAUUACUCUGUAAUGGAGGAAGCUCUUCGGGGCAGGAAGACAGGUGGUGCAUAGUUGUCGUCAGCUCGUGUCGUGAGAUGUUGGGUUAAGUCCCGCAACGAGCGCAACCCUUAUUGUUAGUUGCUACCAUUAAGUUGAGCACUCUAGCGAGACUGCCCGGGUUAACCGGGAGGAAGGUGGGGAUGACGUCAAAUCAUCAUGCCCCUUAUGUCUAGGGCUACACACGUGCUACAAUGGCUGGUACAGAGAGAUGCUAAACCGCGAGGUGGAGCCAAACUUUAAAACCAGUCUCAGUUCGGAUUGUAGGCUGAAACUCGCCUACAUGAAGCCGGAGUUGCUAGUAAUCGCGAAUCAGAAUGUCGCGGUGAAUACGUUCCCGGGCCUUGUACACACCGCCCGUCACACCAUGAGAGUUGGCAAUACCCAAAGUUCGUGAGCUAACGCGUAAGCGGGGCAGCGACCUAAGGUAGGGUCAGCGAUUGGGGUGAAGUCGUAACAAGGUAAAUCGAAUUCCCGCGGCC
rnacentral:rRNA from 1 species